rnacentral:rRNA from 1 species
CUCAGGAUGAACGCUAGCGACAGGCCUAACACAUGCAAGUCGAGGGGUAGCAGGGGAGUAGCAAUACUUCUGCUGACGACCGGCGCACGGGUGAGUAACGCGUAUGCAACCUGCCUACUACAGGGGAAUAACCCGGAGAAAUCCGGACUAAUACCGCAUAAAACAGGGACACCGCAUGGUGAUAUUUGUUAAAGAUUUAUCGGUAGUAGAUGGGCAUGCGUUCCAUUAGGUAGUUGGUAAGGUAACGGCUUACCAAGCCGACGAUGGAUAGGGGAACUGAGAGGUUUAUCCCCCACACUGGAACUGAGACACGGACCAGACUCCUACGGGAGGCAGCAGUGAGGAAUAUUGGUCAAUGGGCGAGAGCCUGAACCAGCCAAGUCGCGUGAAGGAAGACUGCCCUAUGGGUUGUAAACUUCUUUUACAGGAGAGUAAAAGACACUACGCGUAGUGUAUUGCAAGUAUCCUGUGAAUAAGCAUCGGCUAACUCCGUGCCAGCAGCCGCGGUAAUACGGAGGAUGCGAGCGUUAUCCGGAUUUAUUGGGUUUAAAGGGUGCGCAGGCGGAUGUGUCAGUCAGCGGUGAAAUCUCCGGGCUCAACCCGGAACCUGCCGAUGAAACUGCAUGUCUUGAGUAUGGAUGAAGUAGGCGGAAUUCGUUGUGUAGCGGUGAAAUGCAUAGAUAUAACGAGGAACUCCGAUUGCGUAGGCAGCUUACUAAACCAUAACUGACGCUCAAGCACGAAAGCGUGGGUAUCAAACAGGAUUAGAUACCCUGGUAGUCCACGCCGUAAACUAUGAUUACUAGUUGUUUGCGAUAGAGUGCAAGUAACCAAGCGAAAGCGAUAAGUAAUCCACCUGGGGAGUACGCCGGCAACGGUGAAACUCAAAGGAAUUGACGGAAGGG